GACGGUGAGGAAUCCGAGAUCCCCAUUAGGAUAUGUAUAUGUGACUGCUUUUUGUCUAAAUCUUGCGUGAACUGAACAUAGUUGUGUGCAUACUGAACUUUGACUGAAAUAAUUGCUUGAGAGAAUUAGCUAUCAUCAAAUUGUCUACUUUGUUAAAUUUAAUGUGUUUGUUCAAAGUCUGCCUAUUGUAGGUUGACAUGAUGGAUGAGUAGUCUGCUGAUGAUAUCAUCUACUCUCAUUUGAUGUUCUACAAGCAGUCUUGCCCGGGAAGAAAAUGCACAUCAUGGGGAACUUGAGAGUGGAGAAGAAAAACCCAAUCCAGGCAGGUGCGUUGGCUGAGGACUUGGUUGGCACCGACGUCGUCGGCUGCGGAAGGCAGUGAUGGCCAACACUCGCUGGACGGCGAUGGCGCAACAGUGGCUUGGCGGCGCCGACGUCUCACUGCAAUGUGCGUUUGAACUUCGACAUCGAAGAAAGACAUCGAGAUUAACUGGGAUGGAACUGGCCACAUACUGCGCACAAGAGGAUAGUCUGCAUCUGCGUUGGCUAGAAGCUCGUCGGCGCGGGCGUCGUCCGCUGCGCAUGGCGGCGAUGGCGCAGGACAGGCUGGGCGGCUGCGACGUACGUCCGGGCGGGCAAAGGCAGGAAGAUCGAGUUGAUUCCCGUAAGUUUAGCCGUUUGUUGUGAGGCAGACGUAUCAAUUGCCGUAAUUGUGGCUGUUUUUCUGUAAUUGAUUGGCUUGAAUUUUUUUUUCGGGGAGGUAGAACUGUUCGAUCGAUGGCAGAGUUUUGUCCGCUAUUCUAAAUUGCUAAACGCACACAGGUGGGGCCUGACUUUAAUCUGGACGGUUAGAUGCCUAAUCUUGGGGUGGUAGUUUGUCU